GUACACACCGCCCGUCCCCCCAAUCGGUAAAACGCUGAAAAGCUCGGAGAUGACUCUCGUUGGGGGUAAAACCAAUGUGAGAUAUCAAAGUUCUUUAAAUCUUUUGUACUAGAGGAAGGAGAAGUCGUAACAAGGUUUCCGUAGGUGAACCUGCAGAAGGAU
rnacentral:rRNA from 1 species